CCUACGGGUGGCUGCAGUGGGGAAUAUUGCACAAUGGGGGAAACCCUGAUGCAGCAACGCCGCGUGAGCGAUGAAGGGCUUCGAGUCGUAAAGCUCUGUCCUAAGGGAAGAAUACUGACGGUACCUUAGGAGGAAGCCCCGGCUAACUACGUGCCAGCAGCCGCGGUAAUACGUAGGGGGCUAGCGUUAUCCGGAAUUACUGGGCGUAAAGGGCGCGUAGGCGGACCUGCAAGUCAGAGGUGAAAGGCAACGGAUCAACCGUAGUAAGCAUUUGAAACUGUAGGGCUUGAGUGAAGGAAAGGAGAGUGGAAUUCCCAGUGUAGCUGUGAAAGGCGUAGAUAUUUGGCGGACCACCAGUUGCGAAGGCGGCUCUCUAGACUGUAACUCACGCUGCGGCACGAAAGCGUGGGUAGCGAACAGGAUUAGAUACCCCUGUAGUC
rnacentral:rRNA from 1 species